ACUAGGCUCUGGAGCUCCAAGCUGGCCCAGUACAUUGAAGUUGGGUUGGACACAGCACUGAAGCACCCCACUUGAUGUUAGGGCACUGCUGGCCAGAUGCAUUCCUGGAGUUUCUUGGGUCACUUCUGAUGGCCAGGAUUUGUACCUCUCCCAUUCCUGACCCUGGGCAGUGUUAGCCAAAAAGAUCUACUCCUGCUUCUUGUCAUGUGAACUCUUUUAUAUGUAAUCUGUCUUAUUAAUCAAGUUCCCACCAAGACAAAGACUGGAGUCAGCCCAGCAAUCUGAUUCACUAAAACAAGCGUAAAACAUCAUCCUUUACACAAGAUAAAGCUUCCAUGUCUCAUCUUGCCAUUUCAGGAUUUUGGCUUUCAGCAACACACGCAUUUAUCAGGCACAUAAAAAUUCUGUGCUCCUCCUCUGCUUCAUUCUCUCCUCCAGAAGAGCAGUGAUUUGUUCACUCUUUUUUUUUUUUUUUUUUUUUUAAUUUCUUCCUUCUCCUGGAGAGGUGUUAAGGGGCCUGAAAUCCCAAAAAAGGGAAAAAGGGAGAGAAAAAAAUGACUUAAUUUUUCUUCAAAGCCUUUAGCAACCAGCAAACUGCCUGGUUUUAUCAAAACUAACAUAGCCUGAGAAUUCUGGGGUUAAGGCACAGGCAUCCCAUAGGAGAUGGCAUAUCAAAAGGUACAAGCAUUAGCCUGACACCAAAGGAGGAGGGAGGGAAGGGCAAGACUGUCAGGAUUUCAGAAAGUCAGAUUGUGACUCUGUCAAGAGACCACAGGUGUUCAAGCUUCUUCCUCUGAGCUGCUAUUAAAAAAAAGCUCCAAGCCCCAAAAGAUAACACCUAAUUUAGAGACCUAACUC